rnacentral:tRNA from 1 species
GUCGCGGUGGCGAAAUGGCAGACGCGCCAGCUUGAGGGGCUGGUGCCCGCAAGGGCGUGGAAGUUCGAGUCUUCUCCGCGACA